rnacentral:tRNA from 1 species
GGUCCAAUCGUAUAGUGGCUUAUUAUGCUGUCUUAGGGUGACAGAGGUCCUGGGUUCGAUUCCCAGUUGGACCC